rnacentral:tRNA from 2 species
GGAGGGGUGGCAGAGCGGUCGAAUGCGUCGGUCUUGAAAACCGAAGUGCCCUCCGGGGCACCGGGGGUUCGAAUCCCUCCCCCUCCG